GUAGGUGGCAAGCGUUGUCCGGAAUUAUUGGGCGUAAAGCGCGCGCAGGCGGUUCUUUAAGUCUGAUGUGAAAGCCCACGGCUCAACCGUGGAGGGUCAUUGGAAACUGGAGAACUUGAGUACAGAAGAGGAAAGCGGAAUUCCACGUGUAGCGGUGAAAUGCGUAGAGAUGUGGAGGAACACCAGUGGCGAAGGCGGCUUUCUGGUCUGUAACUGACGCUGAGGCGCGAAAGCGUGGGGAGCAAACAGGGAUUAGGUACCCUGGUAGUCCACGCCGUAAAUGAUGAGUGCUAAGUGUUAGGGGGUUUCCGCCCCCUUAGUGCUGCAGCUAACGCAUUAAGCACUCCGCCUGGGGAGUACGGCCGCAAGGCUG
rnacentral:rRNA from 1 species